rnacentral:rRNA from 1 species
AUUGAACGCUGGCGGCAGGCCUAACACAUGCAAGUCGAGCGGAUGAAGGGAGCUUGCUCCUGGAUUCAGCGGCGGACGGGUGAGUAAUGCCUAGGAAUCUGCCUGGUAGUGGGGGAUAACGUCCGGAAACGGGCGCUAAUACCGCAUACGUCCUGAGGGAGAAAGUGGGGGAUCUUCGGACCUCACGCUAUCAGAUGAGCCUAGGUCGGAUUAGCUAGUUGGUGGGGUAAAGGCCUACCAAGGCGACGAUCCGUAACUGGUCUGAGAGGAUGAUCAGUCACACUGGAACUGAGACACGGUCCAGACUCCUACGGGAGGCAGCAGUGGGGAAUAUUGGACAAUGGGCGAAAGCCUGAUCCAGCCAUGCCGCGUGUGUGAAGAAGGUCUUCGGAUUGUAAAGCACUUUAAGUUGGGAGGAAGGGCAGUAAGUUAAUACCUUGCUGUUUUGACGUUACCACAGAAUAAGCACCGCAA